GUUGAUUGACACACAGUUUUUUGACCUCAUCUGCAACUGAGAGCAGCUGCAGUCAAGAGGACAUCGCAUAUCUGUGGAUUAUAUGUGCACGUCUUUGCUCUUGGGUCAGAAACCGUCUACCAGUGCAAGGAAAAACACUGGUUCUGCUCUACAAACGUCAAGUAGAGGAGUUUUUGUUUAAAUGGCGCCCAACGUGAAGAGAGCGGUGCACAUCGCAACUGGAGCCACAACACCUGCCUCUGUCUGGUAUCGUUAUAGCGACAGCCCCAAAACAUCAAUGCUCUAGAGGAGAUCUGAAUGGAGGAAUGGGACAAAAUCCAGCAACAGAACACUUCUUUGAUGGAAAAAAAGGCACAGGAUCUUUAGCAUUGCGCCUCAACAACAUGUCCAGGAAUACAUAUCAAUGGCCAGUCAAGGCAGCCACAGUGCCUCAAGCACAAGGACCAAACCGCCGAAGAUCAGCAGCCACAGCAGCUUGAUGGAGAUGCUUGCAGGGAGGCUAUAUAAUUUCUUGUUCACUCUCCUCAUGCAGAAAGUGUGUUUCAGAAGAUGAAGAUGACCUUGCAACAUUGUCAGGACCUAGUGGGACAGAGUACAGGGC
ensembl:lncRNA